rnacentral:lncRNA from 1 species
GUUACCAUAAGAAUAAUAUUAUAAAUGCAAUCAUAAACUCAUAGUAAUUACAAUUCUAAAUCAGAGACACCCCCCUAGUAUUGGGGGGUUUAGAUACUCAUAUUGUUCAAAACAAAUUCAAGAUAAAAAAUACACAUUACAAGUAAUUGGAUGACAUGGAUCUUAAAUCGCUUCCGCUCUUCGAAUUCCUUGAUCUCUGUAAUCCUUGCUUGUUUGACAAUAUUGUGUUUGCCUCUUUCCAAGAUCCCUCUUUUUCUAUUGUAGAAAAUCUCCUAAUAUAGUGAAAAUCCCUUGGUAGAAGGUGGAGAUCUCUAAAACAUCCCUGCAGCUUAAGCCCGGUGAAAAAUCCUGAAAAUUGGAAAAUUAGCAUUUUGGGCUGACACUGGCCGUGGCAGGCUGACACGGGAAGUGUCAGGUUGACGCGGGUCAUGUUAGCUGACACGGGCGACCGUGUUAGGCCACUGUUGUGGGCAUUACUUGUUCUUUC